GAUGUUUUUUCAACGAGCAUCUGAUUAAGAUCCCGAAUACCAAGCCACUGACAAAACUCGGCAGAUUGUGGAUUACGGUAGUAGGCGCUUGGUGGCACAUUUUUGGAUGAUUCCGUAAUCUGUAAACAGUUGUUUUAAUUACUAUCCUUAAGAGAUCCACGAAAUUCUGAGAUGACACUUACCUCUUUUAACGGAGGCGCAGUUUGUUGGAAACUGUCAGUUCUGAUUGUUAAAUCUCCGAGUUUUUCGAUUUCUUUUAACUCCUCUGCUGUUGGUCGAAAAUCUUUUCUUUCGUAGACACAUGGACGAUUUGAUGCCAUAUCGGGAAGUAUCAGCUGUUCUUUUGUUCCAGUUGUUAAUAAAUCU
rnacentral:sRNA from 1 species